AUGCAAGUCGAGCGCUCUCUUCGGAGGGAGCGGCAGACGGGUGAGUAACGCGUGGGAACCUGCCCAGGGGUACGGAAUAACUCAGGGAAACUUGUGCUAAUACCGUAUACGUCCCCCGGGAGAAAGAUUUAUCGCCCUUGGAUGGGCCCGCGUAAGAUUAGCUAGUUGGUGGGGUAAAGGCCUACCAAGGCUACGAUCUUUAGCUGUUCUGAGAGGAAGAUCAGCCACACUGGGACUGAGACACGGCCCAGACUCCUACGGGAGGCAGCAGUGGGGAAUCUUGCACAAUGGGCGCAAGCCUGAUGCAGCCAUGCCGCGUGAGUGAUGAAGGCCCUAGGGUUGUAAAGCUCUUUCACCGGUGACGAUAAUGACGGUAGCCGGAGAAGAAGCCCCGGCUAACUUCGUGCCAGCAGCCGCGGUAAUACGAAGGGGGCUAGCGUUGUUCGGAAUUACUGGGCGUAAAGCGCACGUAGGCGGAUAAUUAAGUUAGAGGUGAAAGCCCGGAGCUCAGCUCCGGAACUGCCUUUGAUACUGGUUAUCUUGAGGUCGGGAGAGGAGAGUGGAA
rnacentral:rRNA from 1 species